rnacentral:rRNA from 1 species
GUCCACGCUGUAAACGAUGAGCACUAGGUGUGGGAGGGUUCAGUCCCUUCCGUGCCGCAGCUAACGCAUUAAGUGCUCCGCCUGGGGAGUACGGCCGCAAGGUUGAAACUCAAAGGAAUUGACGGGGGCCCGCACAAGCGGUGGAGCAUGUGGUUCAAUUCGAUGCAGAGCGAAGAACCUUACCUGGGCUUGACAUGCAGGAAGUAGAAACCGGAAACGGCGACGACCUGUUAAGUCAGGAACCUGCACAGGUGGUGCAUGGCUGUCGU